rnacentral:rRNA from 1 species
AAUUGAACGAGGAGAAUCAAUGUAUUGUUCUUAGUGGGCCAUUUUUGGUAAGCAGAACUGGCGAUGAGGGAUGAACCUAAUGCUGAGAUAAGGUGCCCAAAUUCACGCUCAUGAGAUCCCAUAAAAGGUGUUAGUUAAUAUAGACAGAUGGACUAUGGUCAUGGAAGUCGACAUUAGCUAAGGAGUGUGUAACAACUCACCAGCCGAAUUAACUAGCCCUGAAAAUUGAUGGCGCUGCUGCGUGAUACCGAUACUCAGCCAUCACGGUAAAUAGAAACUGUGAUGAGUAAGAGGGCGUGAAUACUGUACCGAGGACUUGGGUGUGAACCUAGUUGGAACAGUAUUUAGUGCGGAUCUUGGUGGUAGUAGCAAAUAUUCAAAUGAGAACUUUGAAGGCCGAAGUGGAGAAGGGUUCCAUGAGAACAGCAUUUGGUCAUGGGUUACUCGCUCCUAAGACAUAGGGAAAUUCCUUGUAAUACACGUGCUCUUACGAGUACGAAGUCGAAAGGGAAUGAGGUUAAUAUUCCUCAAGUAGGGUGGGAUGAAAUGUGGCAACACAAAUGAGCUUGGAGACAUCGGUAUGUACCCCUGGAAGAGUUCUUUUUUCUUCUUAACAGUUUAUCUCCCUGAAUGAAUUAUUCAGAGAUAGGGAUGUAUAACUGGCAGAGCAGCUCACUUUCGGGCUGUCAGGUGUGUUCAUAACGAUCCUUGAAAAUCCAAGGGAGAUGUUCAUAUCCCCCCUAGGCGUACCCAUAACCGCAUCAGGUCUCCAAGGUUAGCAGCCUCUGGUCAAUAAAAUAAUGUAAAUAAGGGAAUUCGGCAAAUUAGAUCCGUAACUUCGGGAAAAGGAUUGGCUCUGAGGGUUGGGCGGCUGAGGCCUCUUCAUGAAAGCAGAAGUAAAAUUGAAGCUGACUUCACCGUUGGCUUCUUUUUUGUUGAAGUUAGAUUGUUGGGGUGUUUUCAUCGACUUUCUCGUCGCAUAAAACAACUGACUCAGAACUGAAGCGGACAAGGGGAAUCCGACUGUUUAAUAAAAACAUAGCUUUGUGAUGGCCUGAAAAGGUGUUGACACAAAGUGAUUUCUGCCCAGUGCUUUGAACGUGAAUAUGAAGUAAUUUGUAGAAGCUCAGGUAAACGGCGGGAGUAACUAUGACUCUCUUAAGGUAGCCAAAUGCCUCGUCAUCUAAUUAGUGACGCGCAUGAAUGGAUCAAUGAGAUUCCCACUGUCCCUAUUUACUAUUUAGCGAACCCACAGUCAAGGGAACGGGCUUGAAAUAAUCAGCGGGGAAAGAAGACCCUGUUGAGCUUGACUCUAGUCCGACUUUGUGAAAUGACUAACGAAGUUUAGCCUUAGGUGGGAGCCAACGCGCCAAUGAAAAACCACUAUUCGUUACGUCAUUUUACUUACUCCGUAAAGAAGUGAUCGGUUUACCGA